rnacentral:lncRNA from 1 species
AGCCCACAACGAGGAAACGAACAGGGCGAUCAACCAGACCUUCCAAAGCCACGUCAGUAUAACUCACAAUGUUAUUUACAAUGCAGGUGACAUCGUCCUUUCCGUUUAUUUGAAAAGAAUGGAAGAAAUGAAGAAUUAAGAACAAAAUGUUGAAAGGCCAAAUGAAAUAAUACCACAAACGAGUUGACAAGAUACCAGACGCCCCGAAGAUACUAACAAAAAGGGAUGCCAAC